ACGCUGGCGGGCAGGCCUAACACAUGCAAGUCGAGCGGUAGAGAGAAGCUUGCUUCUCUUGAGAGCGGCGGACGGGUGAGUAAUGCCUAGGAAUCUGCCUGGUAGUGGGGGAUAACGUUCGGAAACGGACGCUAAUACCGCAUACGUCCUACGGGAGAAAGCAGGGGACCUUCGGGCCUUGCGCUAUCAGAUGAGCCUAGGUCGGAUUAGCUAGUUGGUGGGGUAAUGGCUCACCAAGGCGACGAUCCGUAACUGGUCUGAGAGGAUGAUCAGUCACACUGGAACUGAGACACGGUCCAGACUCCUACGGGAGACAGCAGUGGGGAAUAUUGGACAAUGGGCGAAAGCCUGAUCCAGCCAUGCCGCGUGUGUGAAGAAGGUCUUCGGAUUGUAAAGCACUUUAAGUUGGGAGGAAGGGCAGUAAAUUAAUACUUUGCUGUUUUGACGUUACCGACAGAAUAAGCACCGGCUAACUCUGUGCCAGCAGCCGCGGUAAUACAGAGGGUGCAAGCGUUAAUCGGAAUUACUGGGCGUAAAGCGCGCGUAGGUGGUUCGUUAAGUUGGAUGUGAAAUCCCCGGGCUCAACCUGGGAACUGCAUUCAAAACUGACGAGCUAGAGUAUGGUAGAGGGUGGUGGAAUUUCCUGUGUAGCGGUGAAAUGC
rnacentral:rRNA from 1 species